AAGUUUACUGAUAGUGCAACGACA
rnacentral:siRNA from 1 species